UCGAAAUCUUCACGCAUUCUCAACCUUCUCUCCUUCUCGCCAUCAUUCUUCAUUCCUUCUCUCCUCCGGGCUGUCGUUCUUCGUUCUUUCUCUCCUCCCCGCUGUCCUCCAUCUGUUCCUUUUCCACUCUCGUCCAUAUGCCACGAUGAAGGAGAAAUACUGCAGCUCAUUUAUUUUCCUUCCUUGCUCUGAGGCUGUCGGUGUGAUUUCUGCUUCUCACCCUCUUCGAAGAACAGCUGGGCGGAAUUCUUCUCUCCUUCGGUGGUCCAUGAGCUAAAAUGUGACAGCUUCCACUGCACUUGGGUAGAGAUAUUGUAGUUGACCCUGUGCCUUCUGCUAAUCAUCAAGGGCAGUAUUGCUUUUUAGAUAGUGGGAGCACUCUUUGACCAUUCAUUUUGAUAUAAUUAUAUAUUAUAUUAAAAUUAUAAAUUUAGAACUCCACGUACAUCAUAGUUAGGUCUUAAUUUUAUUUUGUUAAUAUAAAUCUACUGGUCUGGAGCUAAAC